UUCAUUUUGAGGGUGUUUAAGAGGUUAAUAUAAAUUGAGAAUUUGAAAACACCUCUUUCUUCAUUUCAGAUUAUUCUGUAGAAGGCAAAGCAGCUUUGAGAUGGGAUUUUUUUAGUUAAAUAAAUUUCCAGAACCAUCUGAGCAAAACCAAAAAGAUUGCAUUGCAGCCUGAAGAGAUUUUUGACUCCACAGAUAUCCUGCAAGAGGUUCAAGUGUUGCCCCUGCAUCUCUCCAGAGCCCUCUCAAGGGACAAUAGUUCUCUCCAUUGCCAACAGGCAAAAGUUCUCCUGUUUUCUCAAUGACACCUAUUUUCCGGAUAUUAUACUGCCACUGAUGGAAUAAAGAAG
rnacentral:lncRNA from 1 species